rnacentral:rRNA from 1 species
GACGAACGCUGGCGGCGUGCUUAACACAUGCAAGUCGAACGGAGCGAAUGAAAGCUUGCUUUUAUGAGCUUAGUGGCAAACGGGUGAGUAACACGUAGACAACCUGCCGACAGGAUGGGGACAACAUUCCGAAAGGAAUGCUAAUACCGAAUGAAGCGGAGGAGAGGCAUCUCUCUUCCGUGAAAGAUGGCCUCUGAAUAUGCUAUCACCUGUCGAUGGGUCUGCGUCUGAUUAGCUAGUUGGUGAGGUAACGGCUCACCAAGGCGACGAUCAGUAGCCGGUCUGAGAGGAUGAACGGCCACAUUGGGACUGAGACACGGCCCAGACUCCUACGGGAGGCAGCAGUGGGGAAUCUUCCGCAAUGGGCGCAAGCCUGACGGAGCAACGCCGCGUGAGUGAAGAAGGUCUUCGGAUCGUAAAGCUCUGUUGAUGGGGACGAACGUGCGAAGGGUGAAUANUCCUUNGUAANGA